rnacentral:rRNA from 1 species
UGGGGAAUUUUGGACAAUGGGCGAAAGCCUGAUCCAGCAAUGCCGCGUGUGUGAAGAAGGCCUUCGGGUUGUAAAGCACUUUUGUCCGGAAAGAAAUCCUCUGGGUUAAUACCUCGGGGGGAUGACGGUACCGGAAGAAUAAGCACCGGCUAACUACGUGCCAGCAGCCGCGGUAAUACGUAGGGUGCAAGCGUUAAUCGGAAUUACUGGGCGUAAAGCGUGCGCAGGCGGUUUUGUAAGACGGAUGUGAAAUCCCCGGGCUUAACCUGGGAACUGCAUUCGUGACUGCAAGGCUAGAGUAUGGCAGAGGGGGGUAGAAUUCCACGUGUAGCAGUGAAAUGCGUAGAGAUGUGGAGGAAUACCGAUGGCGAAGGCAGCCCCCUGGGCCAAUACUGACGCUCAUGCACGAAAGCGUGGGGAGCAAACAGGAUUAGAUACCCUGGUAGUCCACGCCCUAAAACGAUGUCAACUAGUUGUUGGGGAUUCAUUUCCUUAGUAACGUAGCUAACGCGUGAAGUUGACCGCCUGGGGAGUACGGUCGCAAGAUUAAAACUCAAAUGAAUUGACGGGGUCAUAGCUGUUUCCU